UAGGGAAUCUUCCACAAUGGGCGAAAGCCUGAUGGAGCAACGCCGCGUGUGUGAUGAAGGGUUCCGGCUCGUAAAACACUGUUGUAAGAGAAGAAUGACAUUGAGAGUAACUGUUCAAUGUGUGACGGUAUCUUACCAGAAAGGAACGGCUAAAUACGUGUCA
rnacentral:rRNA from 1 species